UUGCAAACUUUUUGACUGUUAUAUAUUUGGUCUUUUUAAAUUGUUUUUGUUUUGAUUAUGGAAACGUCGGAAAUAUUUAGAGUUAAUGUGUUCACAUGAGACGCACGUGAUUUUUUUCUUCUCUUAUUUUCUUCUAUUCAUAAUUCGUCCAUGUUAAAUUUAAGGAAGUGAUAUUUUUAGUACUUUGACAAAAAAAAAAGUGAUAUUUUUUAGUACUUUGUGUGGAGUAUAAUUCCUCUUCUUUGCUCUAACUUCUCUCUAGAAAGCAGAUUUAGGUUUGGCCGCCGCGUUUCGGCUCCGGUGGCUUACAAAGCACCGAAGUCGACCCAGAUCCGUCCCUUUCUUUUAGUGCAUAAAAUCGUGGAGGUGAUUCGUCUCUUUAGGUGUGUGAAGUGUUUUCCGGUGUGGAAGAGUUUGAUGGCACGUGGAGAGCAGGAUCUGUGUGUGAUGGUGUUGAUUUGGGCGGAUCUAGAAGAUGAUGAUGUGCUACGGGACUUCCAGUGGCAUGAGAGCUUGGUCUUCAAAGCAAUUCCUAGAUCUACUUCUCCUCUUCGUUGUUACUGUGCUGAAGCUCCGUUUCCCCUUGCCUCUUCGGCUGCUUGUGAGCUUUGUAGCUCCGCGUCUACCGCUCUUUCAGCACUUUCUGGUGAUUGCGAGUGUGGGCCUUCAUGUUCCUUCUUUUGGUGGUAGUGUUUUAAGGUUUGUUUAAGGUUUUGUAUGUAAUCUCAUGGCUCCGGAUGAGUAGUUCAUGCCGGCUUAGUUUCCCUUAAAACUCUAGGGCUUUAGCUUCCCGUAUCACUCUCGGGCUUUGGUUUCCCAUAUCACUUUUGGGAUUUGCUUCCGGUUUAUCCGGCUUUGUAUUCGACGUUGUAACACUUUUCGUAUAA